rnacentral:rRNA from 1 species
CUAGAUCGGAAGCGAGGAUGUUGACAUGAGUAGCGACAAACAGGGUGAGAAACCCUGUCGCCGAAAGUCCAAGGGUUCCUGCUUAAAGCUAAUCUGAGCAGGGUAAGCCGGCCCCUAAGGCGAGGCCGAAAGGCGUAGUCGAUGGGAACCAGGUUAAUAUUCCUGGGCCAGUGGGAUGUGACGGAUCGCAGAUGUAGUUUGCCCUUAUCGGAUUGGGUGGGCUGCUGAGCGGUUCCUGGAAAUAGCCCCACAUCAGACCGUACCCUAAACCGACACAGGUGGACUGGUAGAGUAUACCAAGGCGCUUGAGAGAACCACGUUAAAGGAACUCGGCAAAAUGCCUCCGUAAGUUCGCGAGAAGGAGGCCCCAUAUGUGCGCAAGCAUGUGUGGGGGGCACAAACUAGGGGGUGGCGACUGUUUACUUAAAACACAGGGCUGUGCGAAGCCGUAAGGCGACGUAUACAGUCUGACGCCUGCCCGGUGCUGGAAGAUUAAGAGGAGGGGUGCAAGCUCUGAAUUGAAGUCCCAGUAAACGGCGGCCGUAACAAUAACGGUCCUAAGGUAGCGAAAUUCCUUGUCGGGUAAGUUCCGACCUGCACGAAUGGCGUAACGAUCUCCCCGCUGUCUCUAACGUGGACUCAGCGAAAUUGAACUGUCUGUCAAGAUGCAGACUACCCGCGGUUAGACGGAAAGACCCCAUGAACCUUUACUCCAGCUUUGCAUUGGCAACAGGACUGUGAUGUGCAGGAUAGGUGGUAGGCAUUGAAGCGGGGACGCCAGUCUUCGUGGAGCCUCCCUUGAGAUACCACCCUUCGCCGUCUUGUUGUCUAACCGCGACCCGUUAUCCGGGCCCGGGACCGUGCAUGGUGGGGAGUUUGACUGGGGCGGUCGCCUCCCAAAUUGUAACGGAGGCGCGCGAUGGUUGGCUCAGACCGGUCGGAAAUCGGUCGUUGAGUGCAAUGGCAGAAGCCAGCCUGACUGCAAGACUGACAAGUCGAGCAGAGACGAAAGUCGGUCAUAGUGAUCCGGUGGUCCCAAGUGGGAGGGCCAUCGCUCAACGGAUAAAAGGUACUCCGGGGAUAACAGGCUGAUGAUGCCCAAGAGUCCAUAUCGACGGCAUCGUUUGGCACCUCGAUGUCGGCUCAUCUCAUCCUGGGGCUGGAGCAGGUCCCAAGGGUACGGCUGUUCGCCGUUUAAAGAGGUACGUGAGCUGGGUUUAGAACGUCGUGAGACAGUUCGGUCCCUAUCUGCCGUGGGUGCAGGAGACUUGAGAAGAGUUGACCCUAGUACGAGAGGACCGGGUUGAACGAACCACUGGUGGACCAGUUAUCGUGCCAA